GCUUAUAGCUCAGUUGGUAGAGCAGUUGACUCUUAAUCAAUUGGUCCGGGGUUCGAGCCCCCGU
rnacentral:tRNA from 1 species